CGAAGCCGAACCGCGGGCGAAGGACGAAAGCUGGAGCGAUCGUCGCGCGCGCCCCGAUCAGACCGAACUGCGACAAAUCAAGGAGUGAUUUUUGGCCCACGGAAUACACGGAACACACUGAAAUGAACGACAGCCGAGGAAUCUCUUCCGCGUAUUCCGUGUGUUCCGUGGGCAACCCUGUCUGAUCCGAAUGGCCAUCGAACAAACAUUUCCCGACAGUGCGGCGAAGACGGCUGCCGCUGCUCCCGCGGAGUUCCAGACCGAAAAGAUGUCGCUCUCGAUGGGGCCGUCGCAUCCGUCGACGCACGGCGUGCUCCGGCUGCAGAUGGAACUCGACGGCGAGAUACUCACCAAGGCCGAUCCGGUUCUCGGCUACCUGCACCGCGGCGACGAGAAAAUCGCGGAGAACAUGACGUACAACCAGUUCGUGCCCUACACGGACCGGUUGGAUUAUCUGGCGCCGCUGGCGAACAACAUGGCGUAUGCCAUUGCGGUCGAGCGGCUGGCCAAGCUCGAGGUGCCGCCGCGUUGCCAGGCGAUUCGGGUGAUUACAGCAGAGAUGGCGCGGAUUUCGUCGCACAUGAUGGGAUUGGGGGCAUUCGGGCUCGAUGUCGGCGCGUGGAGCGUGCUGCUCUACUGCCUCGAGGAGCGCGAGAAGCUCUACAAGCUUUUCGAGGAACUCACCGGCGCGCGGUUCACGACCAGCUACACGCGGGUCGGCGGCGUGACACGCGAUGUGCCCGAAGGCUGGCUCGGCCGGGUAAACGCCUUCUGCGAUCAGUUUCUGCCGAUUCUCGAGGAGACGCUAAAGCUGCUCACGCGAAACAAGAUCUUCAUGGAUCGGACCGCGGGAGUCGGUGUGAUCUCGAAGGAUGACGCGCUGGGCUACGGGAUCACCGGCCCGAACCUGCGCGGCUCGGGCGUCGGGCUCGAUUUGCGCAAGGACAAGCCGUACUCCGGCUAUGAAAACUACGAGUUCGACGUGCCCGUGGGUUCGACCGGCGACUGCUACGAUCGCUAUCUCGUGCGCGGGGAGGAAAUGCGGCAGUCGGUCCGGAUCAUCAGGCAGGUGAUCG
rnacentral:misc_RNA from 1 species